ACGAACGCUGGCGGCAUGCCUAACACAUGCAAGUCGAACGGUGGUUUCACUUCGGUGAUACCACAGUGGCGCACGGGUGAGUAACAUGUGGGAACCUGCCUUUCGGUUCGGGAUAACGUCUGGAAACGGACGCUAACACCGGAUACGUCCUUCGGGAGAAAGUUUACGCCGAGAGAGGGGCCCGCGUCCGAUUAGGUAGUUGGUGGGGUAACGGCCUACCAAGCCGACGAUCGGUAGCUGGUCUGAGAGGAUGAUCAGCCACACUGGGACUGAGACACGGCCCAGACUCCUACGGGAGGCAGCAGUGGGGAAUAUUGGACAAUGGGGGCAACCCUGAUCCAGCAAUGCCGCGUGAGUGAUGAAGGCCUUAGGGUUGUAAAGCUCUUUCGAACGCGACGAUGAUGACGGUAGCGCGAGAAGAAGCCCCGGCUAACUUCGU
rnacentral:rRNA from 1 species